UCAUGAUGAGACCUUUUUUAGAUGACGAGUCUUAUCCGGGUUUCCGAUGCAGACAACCUUUUUUAAUACCAUUCAUGCAACUCUGACA
rnacentral:snoRNA from 1 species